CCUACGGGAGGCAGCAGUGAGGAAUAUUGGUCAAUGGGCGAAAGCCUGAUGGAGCAACGCCGCGUGGGUGAAGAAGGUCUUCGGAUCGUAAAACCCUGUUGUUAGAGAAGAAAGUGCGUGAGAGUAACUGUUCACGUUUCGACGGUAUCUAACCAGAAAGCCACGGCUAACUACGUGCCAGCAGCCGCGGUAAUACGUAGGUGGCAAGCGUUAUCCGGAUUUAUUGGGCGUAAAGGGAACGCAGGCGGUCUUUUAAGUCUGAUGUGAAAGCCUUCGGCUUAACCGGAGUAGUGCAUUGGAAACUGGGAGACGUGAGUGCAGAAGAGGAGAGUGGAACUCCAUGGGUAGCGGUGAAAUGCGUAGAUAUAUGGAAGAACACCAGUGGCGAAAGCGGCUCUCUGGUCUGUAACUGACGCUGAGGUUCGAAAGCGUGGGUAGCAAACAGGAUUAGAUACCCCAGUAGUC
rnacentral:rRNA from 1 species